rnacentral:rRNA from 1 species
AAUCUUAUACUAGGGGGGCAACCCUCAUCUAGCCAUGCCGCUUGAGUGAUGAAGGCCUUAGGAUUGUAAAAUUCUUUCACCGGGGACGAUAAUGUCGGUCCCCGGAUAAGAAGAUCCGGCUAACUUCGUGCCAGCAUCCGCGGUAAUACGAAGGGUGCUAGCGUUGCGCGGAAUUACUGGGCGUAAAGGGCGCGUAGGCGGACAUUUAAGUCAGGGGUGAAAUCCCAGAGCUCAACUCUGGAACUGCCUUUGAUACUGGGUGUCUUGAGUGUGAGAGAGGUAUGUGGAACUCCGAGUGUAGAGGUGAAAUUCGUAGAUAUUCGGAAGAACACCAGUGGCGAAGGCGACAUACUGGCUCAUUACUGACGCUGAGGCGCGAAAGCGUGGGGAGCAAACAG